UACGUAGGUGGCAAGCGUUGUCCGGAUUUAUUGGGUUUAAAGGGUGCGUAGGCUGUCUAUUAAGUCAGUGCUGAAAUAUCCCGGCUUAACCGGGAGGGUGGCAUUGAUACUGAUGGACUUGAGUAAAGUUGAGGUUGGCGGAAUUGACGGUGUAGCGGUGAAAUGCUUAGAUAUCGUCAAGAACACCUAUUGCGAAGGCAGCUAACUAAGCUUAAACUGACGCUGAGGCACGAAAGUGUGGGGAUCAAACAGG
rnacentral:rRNA from 1 species